UUAUAAGACUAUCUCCACCUUAGAUUUGAAAGUCUGAAAAAGAGUGGAUGGAGAAAAGCCCUGGAGAAUAAAAUUGACAUUUUAAACUCAGUCAUGAACCAAUGGUGACUCUGAUAUUUCAGUGAGAUUAAUCUGCAAUGCAGUUAGCCUACAUGUGACAAAUUACCUAUUGACUACAGUUAUAAUUCUUGCCCAGUAUAAAGACUCCAAAUAUGUUCAGGAAUUCUAAAGCAAAUCAAAUUCAUAAUACUGAUUUGUAUAAAAUAAGUAAUUUAUCUCUCUAUAAAUACAUUUGGUUCCUGUUCUCAGAAUUAAUAUCCUUUAUAAGGUAUUAUCUUUCUUAACAUUAAAAUUUGAGAACUCUAUGGUACAUGUACCCAGCUGAUGUCUCAAUCAAGAUUGGUCACCAGUCUCCUGUAAGAAUGAUAUGAUUUAAAAUCUGUCAUUUUUAGUAGUUAACUAAUUAAUUCUAAAUAAUGCUUACAUUAGAGCUCAAAAAAUAAACGAUAAUCCCCUUGUUCUAUUGGCUUCAUAGAAUAAUGAAUUGAC
rnacentral:lncRNA from 1 species